rnacentral:rRNA from 1 species
CGUAACAAGGUUUCCGUAGGUGAACCUGCGGAAGGAUCAUUCGUGCACAUCAGAGCACAGUGAGUGUGAAGA